CCUACGGGGGGCUGCAGUGGGGAAUAUUGGACAAUGGGGGGAACCCUGAUCCAGCCAUGCCGCGUGUGUGAAGAAGGCCCUCGGGUUGUAAAGCACUUUCAGUGAGGAAGAACGCCUGGUGGUUAAUACCCAUCAGGAAAGACAUCACUCACAGAAGAAGCACCGGCUAACUCCGUGCCAGCAGCCGCGGUAAUACGGAGGGUGCGAGCGUUAAUCGGAAUUACUGGGCGUAAAGCGCGCGUAGGUGGCUUGAUAAGCCGGUUGUGAAAGCCCCGGGCUCAACCGGGGAACGGCAUCCGGAACUGUCAAGCUAGAGUGCAGGAGAGGAAGGUAGAAUUCCCGGUGUAGCGGUGAAAUGCGUAGAGAUCGGGAGGAAUACCAGUGGCGAAGGCGGCCUUCUGGACUGACACUGACACUGAGGUGCGAAAGCGUGGGUAGCAAACAGGAUUAGAUACCCUAGUAGUC
rnacentral:rRNA from 1 species